rnacentral:rRNA from 1 species
CGUAGUUAGCCGAGACUUAUUCCUGAGGUACCGUCCUUCCUCUUCCCUCAGAAAAGUGCUUUACAACCCGAAGGCCUUCAUCGCACACGCGGCGUUGCUGCAUCAGGCUUUCGCCCAUUGUGCAAUAUUCCCU